UACGGAGGGGGCUAGCGUUGUUCGGAAUUACUGGGCGUAAAGCGCGCGUAGGCGGACCGGCAAGUCGGGGGUGAAAGCCCGAGGCUCAACCUCGGAACUGCCUUCGAUACUGCGGGUCUCGAGUCCGGGAGAGGUGAGUGGAAUUCCUAGUGUAGAGGUGAAAUUCGUAGAUAUUCGCAAGAACACCAGUGGCGAAGGCGGCUCACUGGCCCGGUACUGACGCUGAGGCAUGAAAGCGUGGGGAGCAAACAGG
rnacentral:rRNA from 1 species